rnacentral:rRNA from 1 species
GACGAACGCUGGCGGCGUGCUUAACACAUGCAAGUCGAACGGAAAGGCCCUGCUUUUGUGGGGUGCUCGAGUGGCGAACGGGUGAGUAACACGUGAGUAACCUGCCCUUGACUUUGGGAUAACUUCAGGAAACUGGGGCUAAUACCGGAUAGGAGCUCCUGCUGCAUGGUGGGGGUUGGAAAGUUUCGGCGGUUGGGGAUGGACUCGCGGCUUAUCAGCUUGUUGGUGGGGUAGUGGCUUACCAAGGCUUUGACGGGUAGCCGGCCUGAGAGGGUGACCGGCCACAUUGGGACUGAGAUACGGCCCAGACUCCUACGGGAAGCAGCAGUGGGGAAUAUUGCACAAUGGGCGGAAGCCUGAUGCAGCAACGCCGCGUGCGGGAUGACGGCCUUCGGGUUGUAAACCGCCUUCGCCUGUGACGAAGCGUGAGUGACGGUAAUGGGUAAAGAAGCACCGGCUAACUACGUG